rnacentral:rRNA from 1 species
GUCCACGCCCUAAACGAUGUCGACUAGGUGUUGGGGAAGGGAGACUUCUUUAGUUACCGUAGCUAACGCGUGAAGUCGACCGCCUGGGGAGGUACGGUCGCAAGAUUAAAACUACAAAGGAAUUGACGGGGACCCGGCCACAAAGCGGUGGAUGAUGUGGAUUAAUUCGAUGCAACGCGAAAAACCUUAACCUACCCUUGACAUGCCAGGAACCUUGCUGAGAGGUGAGGGUGCCCGAAAGGGAGCCUGGACACAGGUGCUGCAUGGCUGUCGU